rfam:Otolemur garnettii contig004478, whole genome shotgun sequence.
GCUUGUGCUCACUUCAGCAAUGCAUAUGCUAAGGUCAGAACAAUACAGAGAAGAUUAGCAUGACCCCUGUGCAAAGAAGACACACAAAUUCAUGAAGCAUUCCAUAUUUUU